rnacentral:tRNA from 1 species
AGGGGUGUAACUCAGUGGUAGAGUGUGUGCUUAGCAUGCAGGAGGUCCUGGGUUCAAUCCCCAGUACCUCCA